GUGGAUUAGAUACCCUGGUAGUCCUGGCAGUAAACGGUGCACGUUUGGUGUGGGAGGAUUCGACCCCUUCUGCGCCGGAGCUAACGCGUUAAACGUGCCGCCUGGGGAGUACGGUCGCAAGAUUAAAACUCAAAGAAAUUGACGGGGGCCCGCACAAGCGGUGGAGUAUGUGGCUUAAUUCGAUGCAACGCGAAGAACCUUACCUGGCCUUGACAUGCAUCUCUAAGCGGGUGAAAGCCCGUGAGUCCCGAAAGGGACAAUUUGCACAGGUGCUGCACGGCCCUCGACAGCU
rnacentral:rRNA from 1 species